rnacentral:rRNA from 1 species
UACGGAGGUUGCAAGCGUUAUCCGGAUUUAUUGGGUUUAAAGGGUGCGUAGGCGGUUUGGUAAGUCAGUGGUGAAAGUUUGCAGCUUAACUGUAAAAUUGCCAUUGAUACUGUCAGACUUGAGUACAGAUGAGGUAGGCGGAAUGUGUGGUGUAGCGGUGAAAUGCUUAGAGAUUGCACAGAAGGCUGAUUGCGAAGGCAGCUUACUGAACCAUAACUGACGCUCAUGCACGAAAGCGUGGGGAGCAAACAGGA